CCUACGGGAGGCAGCAGUGGGGAAUAUUGGGCAAUGGGCGCAAGCCUGACCCAGCAACGCCGCGUGAAGGAAGAAGGCUUUCGGGUUGUAAACUUCUUUUAAGAGGGAAGAGCAGAAGACGGUACCUCUUGAAUAAGCCACGGCUAACUACGUGCCAGCAGCCGCGGUAAUACGUAGGGAGCAAGCGUUAUCCGGAUUUACUGGGUGUAAAGGGCGCGUAGGCGGGAUGGCAAGUCAGAUGUGAAAUCCGGGGGCUCAACCCCUGAACUGCAUUUGAAACUGUCGUUCUUGAGUACUGGAGAGGU
rnacentral:rRNA from 1 species